GGUCUCUGUGGAUCUCUAUGGGUCUCUGUGGGUCUCUAUGGGUCUCUGUGGGUCUCUAUGGGUCUCUGUGGGUCUCUAUGGGUCUCUGUGGGUCUGUGAUUCUAUUCAAGUCCCCAGAUAUCCUGUGGGUAUCUCUUGAGUAUGGGUCUCUGUGGGUCUCUAUGGGUCUCUGUGGGCCUGUAUGAGUCUCUCUGGUUCUAUUCAAGUCCCCAGAUAUCUGUGGAUGUCUCUGAGUAUGGGGCUCUGUGGGUCUCUAUGGGUCUCUGUGGGUCUCUAUGGGUCUCUGUGGGUCUCUAUGGGGCUCUGUGGGUCUCUAUGGGUCUCUGUGGGUCUGUGAUUCUAUUCAAGUCCCCAGAUAUCCUGUGGGUAUCUCUUGAGUAUGGGUCUCUGUGGGUCUCUAUGGGUCUCUGUGGGUCUCUAUGGGUCUCUGUGGGUCUCUAUGAUUCUAUUAAAGUCCCCAGAUAUCCUGUGGGUGUCUCUGAGUAUGGGUCUCUGUGGGUCUCUAUGGGUCUCUGUGGGUCUCUAUGGGUCUCUGUGGGUCUGUGAUUCUAUUCAAGUCCCCAGAUAUCCUGUGGGUAUCUCUUGAGUAUGGGUCUCUAUGAUUCUAUUAAAGUCCCCCGGAUAUCUGUGGUUGUGUCUCUGAGUAUGGGUCUCUGUGGGUCUCUAUGGGUCACUGUGGGUCUCUACGAGUCUGUAGUAACAGGCGUUUAGAGUAUCCGGGCUGCCGCUCUGAAUAUCCCACGCGAUGAUGAUGAUGAUGGUAUCAGGCCACUUGGCUGAGCCCCUCCUGUCAUUUGCGAUGCUGCAUCGCAGCGUGGAGUGGUGGACAAUAAUUAACGUAACUUGUAUCAGCCAUCGAGAUCUUCUCGUUUCGUCUGAUCCCACUGCAUUGUUAACGGGAAUAAGCGCGGUCUGCCCUCUCCGUCGAUUCAUUGGCAAGCGGUCCAUUGUUUUUGCUAAUGGCCCACACUGAAUGAUAGCAGCAUCAACUAAGUGGGCUGAUAUCGUCAUCGUGUGGACACGUACAGCAGUCUUAACGCAUAGAGACACGUAGAGAUACAUAGAGACACAUAGA